rnacentral:misc_RNA from 1 species
UCGUAUAAAAGGAGAGAAAAUGUGAUAGAAAUCAGUCGAGAGAGAAUCUCCGACACGGCAAGUGCAGUCUGCAGUGUACUAUUAGUUACCAACUGCAUUUUUCGUCGUACCACCAGUUUGCUAUCAUGGUUACAAUCGAAAAAAUCUGAUGUUCACGAUUGGAGGUCACAAGAAACAUUUCGUAAAACUGGCAUGCGGUGGUGUAGAGGUUGGGUGAGAACCGGACGUUAUGCAUCAUUAUAAAAAAGUAAAAUAUGUCGUCGUACUGAUGUUGGGUGUCGUAUCGGCUCGGUCAACCACUGGUGUACUGAUGUCUUCUGGGUCUGGCGGGUGUGAAACCGCAACGCCGCACGUUACUACACCGACGUCCCCAAGUACUACACCACCAAGUCUCCAGAUUAUUACACCACAACUUCGCUGCCCUGAGCUACUACACCGAAUUCCCGAAAAAUUAUUCUUCCCCGAGCUACGCCAUGAAUAGUGUCGAGUACUACACCGAGCCCCCUAAUUACUACACUACUACAUAUCACGGGAGAGAAAAGGCGAUAGAUAUCAGUCGAAUGGUUAUCACUGAUAUGGCAACAUCUGCAGUGCAGUAGUCGUCACCAACUGCAUUCUUCGUCGUACCACCAGUUUUUGCAAUCAUGGUAAACUAUUUUGUCGUGCUGCUGUUGGGUGUCGUUUCGUUGAUGGCCGAGUCGACCACUGGUGUACUAAUGUCUCCUGGGUAUGGUGGAUACCAAAGCACGACGCCGCCGUCGUACUAUGCAACAACAACAUAGACACGACCAGUUACUACACCGAGGCCCCCAAGUACUACACCACCAAGGAACCAGAGUGUUACACAACUACAAAUGCCGCGCCAGCUUAUUACACCGAGGCCCCCAAUAUUACUCUGCUCCCAGCUACUACACCGAGGUUCCAGCUUAUUACACCACUAAAACAGUCGAAUACUACACAGAAGUAAUCAUUGUAAACUAUGGCGUGCUGUUGUUGGGUGUUGGAUCGUUGAUGGCUGGAUUGACCACUGGUGUGCCAAUGUCUCCUGGGUAUGGCGGGUAUCAAACCACUACGCCGGCGUCCGACCUGCUCGUCAAUAACAAAUACGCAACGACCAGUUACUGUACUGA